CCUACGGGUGGCAGCAGUGAGGAAUAUUGGUCAAUGGCCGGAAGGCUGAACCAGCCAAGCCGCGUGAAGGACGAAGGUGCCAAGCAUUGUAAACUUCUUUUGUCAAGGGACAAAAUCAGGCUCGAGAGCCUGACCGAGGGUACUUGAAGAAAAAGCAUCGGCUAACUCCGUGCCAGCAGCCGCGGUAAUACGGAGGAUGCGAGCGUUAUCGGGAUUUAUGGGGUUAAAAGGGUGCGUAGGCGGACUGUUAAGUCAGAGGUAAAAGCCCGGGGCUAAACCCCGGCGAGCCGUUGAAACUGGGUGUCUGGAGAGGACGAGAGGUAUGCGGAAUGCGCAGUGUAGCGGUGAAAUGCUUAGAUAUUGGGCAGAACACCGAUUGCGAAGGCAGCAUACCGG
rnacentral:rRNA from 1 species